AAAUUGAAGAGUUUGAUCAUGGCUCAGAUUGAACGCUGGCGGCAGGCCUAACACAUGCAAGUCGAACGGUAACAGGAAACAGCUUGCUGCUUUGCUGACGAGUGGCGGACGGGUGAGUAAUGUCUGGGAAACUGCCUGAUGGAGGGGGAUAACUACUGGAAACGGUAGCUAAUACCGCAUAACGUCGCAAGACCAAAGAGGGGGACCCUCGGGCCUCUUGCCAUCGGAUGUGCCCAGAUGGGAUUAGCUUGUUGGUGGGGUAACGGCUCACCAAGGCGACGAUCCCUAGCUGGUCUGAGAGGAUGACC
rnacentral:rRNA from 1 species